CCUACGGGUGGCAGCAGUGAGGAAUAUUGGUCAAUGGACGAGAGUCUGAACCAGCCAAGUAGCGUGAAGGAUGACUGCCCUAUGGGUUGUAAACUUCUUUUAUCUGGGAAUAAAAUGUUCCACGUGUGGGAUUUUGUAUGUACCCUAUGAAUAAGCAUCUGCUAACUCCGUGCCAGCAGCCGCGGUAAUGCGGAGGAUCCGAGCGUUAUCCGGAUUUAUUGGGUUUAAAGGGUGCGUCGGGGGAUUGUCAAGUCAGGUGUGAAAGUUUGCGGGUCAACCCUAAAAUUGCAGUUGAAACUGGAUGUCUUGAGUGCAGUAGAGGUGGGCGGAAUUCGUGGUGUAGCGGUGAAAUGCAUAGAUAUCACGAAGAACUCCGAUUGCGAAGGCAGUUCACUGGAGUGCAACUGACGCUGAGGCUCGAAAGUGUGGGUAUCAAACAGGAUUAGAUACCCCAGUAGUC
rnacentral:rRNA from 1 species